GACGAACCGUGCAAACGUUGUUCGGAAUCACUGGGCUUAAAGGGCGCGUAGGUGGGUAGGCUAGUCUGUGGUGAAAUCCCCCGGCUUAACCGGGGAACUGCCGUGGAUACUGCCAACCUCGAGGAGGGUAGGGGCGUCUGGAACUAGCGGUGGAGCGGUGAAAUGCGUUGAUAUCGCUAGGAACUCCGGUGGCGAAGGCGAGACGCGGACCCUUUCUGACGCUGACGGCGCGAAAGCUAGGGGAGCAAACGGG
rnacentral:rRNA from 1 species